rnacentral:misc_RNA from 1 species
AAACUACAAGGGGAGCCGAAGCUCCCCCAGAAGUAGUUGCGUGCUCUAUUUUUAUUAUUGGUUUCGGGCUUCUUGUUUUUGUUGAUCGCCCUCGCCAUGAAGUAUGACCUUCAUGACACUCCCAAUCGGGAGUCAAGAGCAAACGGAUUGCUUUGGUCGCUGUGUUGCUGAUCUACGAUCCAACCAGUUCAGGCUCUGCCUUAGGGCAGUU